rnacentral:rRNA from 1 species
AAAGCAGGGGACCUUCGGGCCUUGCGCUAUCAGAUGAGCCUAGGUCGGAUUAGCUAGUUGGUGAGGUAAUGGCUCACCAAGGCGACGAUCCGUAACUGGUCUGAGAGGAUGAUCAGUCACACUGGAACUGAGACACGGUCCAGACUCCUACGGGAGGCAGCAGUGGGGAAUAUUGGACAAUGGGCGAAAGCCUGAUCCAGCCAUGCCGCGUGUGUGAAGAAGGUCUUCGGAUUGUAAAGCACUUUAAGUUGGGAGGAAGGGUUGUAGAUUAAUACUCUGCAAUUUUGACGUUACCGACAGAAUAAGCACCGGCUAACUCUGUGCCAGCAGCCGCGGUAAUACAGAGGGUGCAAGCGUUAAUCGGAAUUACUGGGCGUAAAGCGCGCGUAGGUGGUUUGUUAAGUUGGAUGUGAAAUCCCCGGGCUCAACCUGGGAACUGCAUUCAAAACUGACUGACUAGAGUAUGGUAGAGGGUGGUGGAAUUUCCUGUGUAGCGGUGAAAUGCGUAGAUAUAGGAAGGAACACCAGUGGCGAAGGCGACCACCUGGACUAAUACUGACACUGAGGUGCGAAAGCGUGGGGAGCAAACAGGAUUAGAUACCCUGGUAGUCCACGCCGUAAACGAUGUCAACUAGCCGUUGGAAGCCUUGAGCUUUUAGUGGCGCAGCUAACGCAUUAAGUUGACCGCCUGGGGAGUA